rnacentral:rRNA from 2 species
AUAUUGGGCGUAAGAGCUCGUAGGCGGUUUGUCGCGUCUGCUGUGAAAUCCCGAGGCUCAACCUCGGGCUUGCAGUGGGUACGGGCAGACUAGAGUGCGGUAGGGGAGAUUGGAAUUCCUGGUGUAGCGGUGGAAUGCGCAGAUAUCAGGAGGAACACCGAUGGCGAAGGCAGAUCUCUGGGCCGUAACUGACGCUGAGGAGCGAAAGCAUGGGGAGCGAACAGGAUUAGAUACCCUGGUAGUCCAUGCCGUAAACGUUGGGCGCUAGAUGUAGGGACCUUUCCACGGUUUCUGUGUCGUAGCUAACGCAUUAAGCGCCCCGCCUGGGGAGUACGGCCGCAAGGCUAAAACUCAAAGGAAUUGACGGGGGCCCGCACAAGCGGCGGAGCAUGCGGAUUAAUUCGAUGCAACGCGAAGAACCUUACCAAGGCUUGACAUACACCGGAAACGGCCAGAGAUGGUCGCCCCCUUGUGGUCGGUGUACAGGUGGUGCAUGGUUGUCGUCAGCUCGUGUCGUGAGAUGUUGGGUUAAGUCCCGCAACGAGCGCAACCCUCGUUCUAUGUUGCCAGCGCGUUAUGGCGGGGACUCAUAGGAGACUGCCGGGGUCAACUCGGAGGAAGGUGGGGAUGACGUCAAAUCAUCAUGCCCCUUAUGUCUUGGGCUUCACGCAUGCUACAAUGGCCGGUACAAAGGGCUGCGAUACCGUAAGGUGGAGCGAAUCCCAAAAAGCCGGUCUCAGUUCGGAUUGAGGUCUGCAACUCGACCUCAUGAAGUCGGAGUCGCUAGUAAUCGCAGAUCAGCAACGCUGCGGUGAAUACGUUCCCGGGCCUUGUACACACCGCCCGUCAAGUCAUGAAGUCGGUACACCCGAAG